GCGAAUCAUCAGUUUCUCUUGCAGCCAUCCGUGCAUAAUAUGACUCUUUCUCUAUUGCAAUUUAUUUUUCUUGAUAAAUCACCCUGUCUAGGCAGUGGGCAAGGUGAAUCCACUGGGUGGUUACGCUCUUUUGCCAUGCUCCACUAGAAGACAAAAGAUGCACCUGCAAGCUAGGCAGCAUUGCACUCGCUUUUCAAUUGGAUUGGACCAUGGGGGCGGUUUCCCUCGUGCUGUUCUCGUGACAGUGAACUCUUCGAAGAUCUGGCUGUUUAAAAGCGUGUGGCAGGUUUGGCCCAUAGCCACCACAGUAAGACGUGCCUGCUUUUCCUCUGCCGUGGUUGUGAGUUGCCUGAGUCCUCUCGGUCGUGCUUCCUGCUAGGCCUGCAGAACUAGUGACCAACUGCAGCAUGUGAAGAAGAAAAAAAAAAAAAAGGAUACUGAGACUUGGAUGGAUGCAUCAAGAAGUAGCAAUGUUUGUUACCUGCAGAGGUGUUACAAGAAAUUUCAUCUGCUGCAACGAAGACGAACUGAUUUCUGGAAGAGAAGAUAAAAUUCACAAUACUGCUCGCUCAGGGGGAAAUGUGCUCUCUGCCAAUUGCUUUGAUGUGUACAGAUGAGGGGAGGGAAGGGUGCUGCGUGUGAAUGGAUGUUGCAAGGAAAUGUGCUGAUGUACCUCAGAGUUUAGAAAGAUCAUGAAAUAAGCAUGCGGGGACCUCUUAAAGUCAUGGUAAUGUCAGAAUAUGGACCAUGUACAAGCUGUUGCACCAAAUAUUAAUACUAUGUGUUACCAAAACAUGCCAGGAUAUGUUUCUAAGGCUAAAGCAUUUCAAAUUGUGCUCAUAUGACUUUCUAUGCUAAAGAGAUUACUUUUUAAAAUGAGACUAAUGAUUAAGAAAUAGGGUAUACUACAGCUAGCUAGAAAAAUUAUAAAAUUCUAGACUUAUAAUAUUAAGAAAAAGUGCUGUCAUUUCAGAAGACAAUUUUAUAUGGUGAUGUGUUAUGGAUAAUAAUUUCCUCAUCAAACCAGGCUUGCUACAUAGAGCUAAGAGAACUUGUCAAUUGAAAUAAACCCUAAUUAUUUUUAAUGAUGCAG